AGGCGGCAGCCCAACCAUCAAGCAGCUGAACGCUGACUCUCAAUGUGGUUUUCACUAUUGUUUUUUAGAAAUGGUUUAGUGUCGUCAGAAAAAGUCCGUUAGCAUCUCCACUGUAAGGCUAACUACAAGAGUAUGCUUAUGUUCCUAGGUUCUUCCAUGCUGAUGGCUGUGCUCUAGAGUCAUAUCUCCUGUCGAAGAACAUUUUUAGACAUUAUGAACCAUGAAAAAGUUUAGCUCCAACCCCAGUUAAGCAGAUCUGAGCAGCUGAUCAAGGAUCACCAGAAACUCUGCAGAACAUUGGUCCUCCAGCCCAGGACUGGACACCAGUGUUAGUGUCUGUCUCAGAAGCUGAAGAAAAGAGGCCACACCUCAGAGGAAAUAAGCGCCUCCUAAGUGUACGGAAAUACCUGGCUGAGAAGAUCAGUGACAUAAACCAGAUAAAACUGUCAGUGGUCUAAGACAGCUACAAUGAAGCCACAAAUGCAGUUCAUAGUUCCUGUAUUUCUAUAAUGCAUUAAUGAAUAACAAUAAUU